GACGAACGCUGGCGGCGUGCUUAACACAUGCAAGUCGAACGGAAAGGCCCUGCUUUUGUGGGGUGCUCGAGUGGCGAACGGGUGAGUAACACGUGAGUAACCUGCCCUUGACUUUGGGAUAACUUUAGGAAACUGGGGCUCAUACCGGAUAGGAGCUCCUGCUGCAUGGUGGGGGUUGGAAAGUUUCGGCGGUUGGGGAUGGUCUCGCGGCUUAUCAGCUUGUUGGUGGGGUAGUGGCUUACCAAGGCUUUGACGGGUAGCCGGCCUGAGAGGGUGACCGGCCACAUUGGGACUGAGAUACGGCCCAGACUCCUACGGGAGGCAGCAGUGGGGAAUAUUGCACAAUGGGCGGAAGCCUGAUGCAGCAACGCCGCGUGCGGGAUGACGGCCUUCGGGUUGUAAACCGCUUUCGCCUGUGACGAAGCGUGAGUGACGGUAAUGGGUAAAGAAGCACCGGCUAACUACGUG
rnacentral:rRNA from 1 species